rnacentral:pre_miRNA from 1 species
UGUGUACUCCCUCUGUCCGAAAAAGUUUGUCCCUCAAAUGAAUGUAUCUAGCACCAAGUUAGUGCUAGAUACAUCCAUUUGAAAGACAAGCUUGGGACAAGCUUUUUCAGACGGAGGGAGUAACAA